rnacentral:rRNA from 1 species
UGGUAUUUUGACCGUGCUAAGGUAGCANAAUCAUUUGGCUUUNAAUUGAUAACUGGAAUGAAAGGUUGCUCUUAUUUUAAUUUUUGUAAAACUNAAAUAAUAAAUNAAAGUNAGGGUAAGAAUUCUUUAAUUUUCNAGGGGACGAUAAGACCCNAGAAGCUUAAUAUAGAGUUGUACUUANAGAAAAAGUUGAUUAUUUAUUUUACUGGGGCGGUAGGAGUAAACUUACUAUUUGCUNAAAAAAGAUCUUUAAAAUUAAGANAAUUGGGAUUAGUUACUCUAGGGAUAACAGUGCAAUUUUUUNAGAAAGACCUUAUUGAUGAANAAGUUUGCAACCUCGAUGUUGAAUUAAGAUGUCUAAGUGAGGUAAAAGGUACUAAAGAAAGGUUUGUUCAACCUUUAAAGUCUUACAUGAUCNGAGUUCAAACCGGA